CCCAAUACACCGUCUUGGUGCCUGUCAUCCUGGGGGUCCCCGGCAAUUUCCUAUCAAUACUCGUUGCCAAUAGACCACAGAACAAGAACCUCUCCCCAUGUGUCUACAUGACAGGCAUGGCAGUUGUUGAUACCAUUUUUCUCCUAGAGGUGGCCUGGUUUUAUUCUACAUUUUAUGUUGGAGUUCUAGACGGUGUUAUUGUUUCCUUUAAGCAGGCGGAGACUCUUUACCAAUUUCAUAUAUUUGUACUCUACACAAGCUCUAUGCUGUCGGGUCUUUUUCUGACCGGUAUGUCUUUGGAUCGUCUGGUCGCCGUGACGUCACCAAUGAAGGUAUCGCGUCUGUGCACUGCAACACGCGCCAAGUCAAUCGUUUUGGUGACGUCAGUUGUUAUCACUGCAGUUAAUGUUCAUCUUUUUUAUGUCAUGGAAUACGUCUUCGACGCCAAAACAGGAACCCGCGUCAUCAACAUAGUUCACGAAAACAAGACUUUCGAAAGGUUUUCUUAUUAUUUCAACAUACUGUUUGGGACAGUCGUACCUUUUCUCACAAUAUUUGGCAGCAACAUCAUUAUCAUUAUCACACUUAACCGGGCUGCAAGUCAAAGAAGGAAGAUGCUUGAAAAUAGUCAACAAGACAAAUUCCAAAAGGGAACGCAGCACUUAACGGUCAUGUUGAUAUUGGUAAGCGUUGCUUAUAUCGUGACUUCACUUCCCUACCGAACUUAUAUCCCGAUUUUAAAACUUGCCAA